rnacentral:rRNA from 1 species
CCUACGGGUGGCUGCAGUGGGGAAUAUUGGGCAAUGGGCGCAAGCCUGACCCAGCAACGCCGCGUGAAGGAAGAAGGCUUUCGGGUUGUAAAAUUCUUUUCUCAGGGACGAAGCAAGUGACGGUACCGGAGGAAUAAGCCACGGCUAACUACGUGCCAGCAGCCGCGGUAAUACGUAGGUGGCAAGCGUUAUCCGGAUUUACUGGGUGUAAAGGGCGUGUAGGCGGGACUGCAAGUCAGAUGUGAAAACCACGGGCUCAACCUGUGGCCUGCAUUUGAAACUGUAGUCCUUGAGUACUGGAGAGGCAGACGGAAUGCGUGGUGUAGCGGUGAAAUGCGUAGAUAUUAGGCGGAACACCAGUGGCGAAGGCGGUCUGCUGGACAGCAACUGACGCUGAGGCGCGAAAGCGUGGGGAGCAAACGGGAUUAGAUACCCCAGUAGUC